UUGAACGCUGGCGGCAUGCUUUACACAUGCAAGUCGAACGGCAGCGGGGGCUUCGGCCUGCCGGCGAGUGGCGAACGGGUGAGUAAUGCAUCGGAACGUACCCAGUCGUGGGGGAUAACUACGCGAAAGCUUGGCUAAUACCGCAUACGCCCUGAGGGGGAAAGCGGGGGACCUUCGGGCCUCGCGCGAUUGGAGCGGCUGAUGUCGGAUUAGCUGGUUGGUGGGGUAAAGGCCUACCAAGGCGGCGAUCCGUAGCUGGUCUGAGAGGAUGAUCAGCCACACUGGGACUGAGACACGGCCCAGACGCCUACGGGAGGCAGCAGUGGGGAAUUUUGGACAAUGGGCGCAAGCCUGAUCCAGCCAUGCCGCGUGAGUGAAGAAGGCCUUCGGGUUGUAAAACUCUUUCGGCAGGAACGAAACGGUGAGCUCUAACAUAGCUUGCGAAUGACGGUACCUGAAGAAGAAGCACCGGCUAACUACGU
rnacentral:rRNA from 1 species